UACCAGCACCCCGAGUGGUCGGGACGAUUAUUGGGCCUAAAGCAUCCGUAGCCGGUUUUACAAGUCCUCCGUUAAAUCCAACUGCUUAACAGAUGGGCUGCGGAGGAUACUAUAAGACUAGGAGGCAGGAGAGGCAAGCGGUACUCAGUGGGUAGGGGUAAAAUCCGUUGAUCCAUUGAAGACCACCAGUGGCGAAGGCGGCUUGCCAGAACGCACUCGACGGUGAGGGAUGAAAGCUGGGGGAGCAAACCGG
rnacentral:rRNA from 1 species